rnacentral:rRNA from 1 species
GAUGAACGCUGGCGGCGUGCCUAAUACAUGCAAGUCGAGCGAACAGACGAGGAGCUUGCUCCUCUGACGUUAGCGGCGGACGGGUGAGUAACACGUGGAUAACCUACCUAUAAGACUGGGAUAACUUCGGGAAACCGGAGCUAAUACCGGAUAAUAUAUUGAACCGCAUGGUUCAAUAGUGAAAGACGGUUUUGCUGUCACUUAUAGAUGGAUACGCGCCGCAUUAGCUAGUUGGUAAGGUAACGGCUUACCAAGGCAACGAUGCGUAGCCGACCUGAGAGGGUGAUCGGCCACACUGGAACUGAGACACGGUCCAGACUCCUACGGGAGGCAGCAGUAGGGAAUCUUCCGCAAUGGGCGAAAGCCUGACGGAGCAACGCCGCGUGAGUGAUGAAGGUCUUCGGAUCGUAAAACUCUGUUAUUAGGGAAGAACAAAUGUGUAAGUAACUAUGCACGUCUUGACGGUACCUAAUCAGAAAGCCACGGCUAACUACGU